rnacentral:rRNA from 1 species
AGACCCGAAACCCGGUGAUCUAGCCAUGGGCAGGUUGAAGGUUGGGUAACACUAACUGGAGGACCGAACCGACUAAUGUUGAAAAAUUAGCGGAUGACCUGUGGCUGGGGGUGAAAGGCCAAUCAAACCGGGAGAUAGCUGGUUCUCCCCGAAAGCUAUUUAGGUAGCGCCUCGUGAAUUCAUCUCCGGGGGUAGAGCACUGUUUCGGCUAGGGGGCCAUCCCGGCUUACCAACCCGAUGCAAACUGCGAAUACCGGAGAAUGUUAUCACGGGAGACACACGGCGGGUGCUAACGUCCGUCGUGAAGAGGGAAACAACCCAGACCGCCAGCUAAGGUCCCAAAGUCAUGGUUAAGUGGGAAACGAUGUGGGAAGGCCCAGACAGCCAGGAUGUUGGCUUAGAAGCAGCCAUCAUUUAAAGAAAGCGUAAUAGCUCACUGGUCGAGUCGGCCUGCGCGGAAGAUGUAACGGGGCUAAACCAUGCACCGAAGCUGCGGCAGCGACACUCAGGUGUUGUUG